rnacentral:rRNA from 1 species
GCAGCAGUGGGGAAUAUCGGACAAUGGGCGAAAGCCUGAUGCAGCAAUGCCGCGUGAGUGAUGACGGCCUUAGGGUUGUAAAGCUCUUUUACCCGGGAUGAUAAUGACAGUACCGGGAGAAUAAGCCCCGGCUAACUCCGUGCCAGCAGCCGCGGUA